GGGGGUUUGGUGCUCAAUAUUAUCUCCUUUCCUUUGGUGGGUGGGAGAUUUGGUUCCUGCCCUAGUAUGUCCUUCCUCUUCCUUGAUGCAGGUUUCAUUUUAGCAGUGAAGAAUAUGCUUGGAGUUGGGAUUAGUAUCUCUAGGACUAUUUUUUGUAUCUCUAGACAAAUGAGGAUUAAUAGAAUUUCACUAGUAAGGUCCUCAAAUACAUGAUUAAAUGGUCUGUCUAGUGCGAGUACC
rnacentral:lncRNA from 1 species